AAUUGUGGUCGAUGUGUGCGCACAGUAUCACCAGUUAAAGGUGUGUUGGAGUUCAAAAGUCUCGGCCCAGCACCAUGUCGUAGGAAGUGCAAAUGAUUAUUUAUACACCAUCUGUGGUCUGUGAACCACCACAUCGGCCAUUCCUGUUAGCUGAAUAGAAAAUGCAGUAUGGCCAUGUUGUGAAGGUUGCACCUGCACUGAAUUACUGUUUAAGGCCAGAGUUUGUGAAAUGUUAAGUAAUGAAAGCAUAAAAGUUAGACCCAUUCAUACACACACUCACACACUCACACACUCACACACCGACGGCUGCCAUGCAAGGCACCGACCAGCUCGUCAGGAGCAUUUUGGGGUUAGGUGUCUUGCUCAGGGACACUUCAACACAGCCUGGGCGGGGGAUCGAACCGGCAACCCUCCGACUGCCAGACGACUGUUCUUACUGCCUGAGCCAUGUCGCCCCUAACGACCGAUUAUUCAUGAGGUUUGAGGCAAUCCCAAGAUAAGGAUUUCCAAGGAUUUGCACCUUUAAUAUUUUGCAAAUCUAAUUUAAAUUUGACAUCAGACUGAUCUGUGGGCUAUAUUUUCUGGUGAUGAUACAACACGAAGUCCAAGUUCUCUCCAGAUUCCGGUGAAGCCACGGCGAUGCCACACACAGCUGGGAGACAACGCUCUGUGACCACAGAAACCAAAAACAUGGUAGUCCCCGAGACAGAAGCAGGACUCCACUGUGCGAAAGAAGACGAUACUGAGGCCCUCUCGGUGAUUAUUUGCACUGCAGUUAGGCCUGUUUUCCUUCUGAAUGCUGGGAUUGUGAAAGAGGGUGUUUUGUACAGCUGUUCUACCAAAAUAUUUCUUGGAAUAACAUUGUGAUCUGUGGGUUUGGGACUCCGGUGGGAAGCCCUGUUUGUCUUUGAAAGGAGGAGACUUGCGGAGAGGCAAAAGGAUCUAAAACGCUCAACUGGAAACAAAACACGGACGAUAUCACUCCUCUGUUCCAGCACGAGGACAGGCCAUGAGGCGCUCGCGAAAACACCCGGCCGCCCCCUCCUCCCUCCCAGGCUCCAUGGCGGGUGGCAUUUCAUGGGGAGGUGCGGUGCUAGUUUGUGUCGCCGUGCGAAUUCCAGAGAGAAUUCGGAUUCUUAAAAUUCACAUAGUCUCGCUGCGUGCGGACAUCCUCCUCCCCCCCCCCCCCCCCCGCCCGGACAUCGCGCUAGUUUGACCGGAGCGCAAAGUGACAGUCUAUCUUGAUGUUAUUGCGUGAGGGAGGCUGAGGCUAGGCUAACGCUAACGGCGCUGUUCCUUCAGGUUGUUUUGUCUGCCGCUGGCUGGACUGGCACGGGUAAUGGGUGCCUGAUGGGGGAGAUGUUGGCCCGAGUGCCCACAGACUCUGGGAACAACGAAGAUUUUAAAAAUACGCCUGGAUCUGGUUCUGUUUUGCAACAUACUAUGGCUAUCUCCAGCGUGACCCUCAGUUCUCCCAAAGUGGAAGUUGCUGAUUAGCUUCGCACGCUAUUCAGACUCAAGUGGCUCCUCCAUCUAUGCCUUAUGAAACUUCUGCAAUGCUGUACAUCAUAGCUUGUGUCCCUGUCCGAAUACAUGACGAUCAUCACACUGUACAAUGUCUCCGUAAGAUAAGGGGUUCGGUUACACUUUCCAGGAAACCGAGACCCUUCCAGGAGAUUGCGACGAGCCACUGGGGAAAUGUUCAGCCAAUCAUCAUCUCUGUGACGCGGUGGGAGAGAGACGACUUCUGGAAUAGCCCUGAGGGUCGGCGUGUGCUGGUUUAGACCGGUUCCUGUUUCUCCUUCGCAGACAUGUAAAUACAGGCCGGGACGGCAGCCAGUAUUAGUCACCCCUCAGUCCGGAGAGAGAGGGAGAGGGGGGAGCGAGAGAGACUGCCAAGGCUACACCCACCCACACACAAACAGCUUCCCAGCAUCCUCUGAGUCUUGGCCGCGGAGCGGGGUAGCGGGGUGAUGGCGAAGCCUCCCAACGCCGGCACUAGGGACGCCAGGGUGGUUGUGUCUGCGACAGUCGGCGGAGAGAGAGCAGACGUAAACAGGCAGGAAUGUGUAGCCGAGGCAGCAGAUCCAGGUGGUGAAGUCUGGAGCCCUGUGUACAGGCCUGGAUAUAGACACAUUGUGUUCGUCUUAGCGCUGAGCUCUGUGGAUUUCCUCCAAAAGGCUGGGAGAAGUUCCCCUCACCCCAUUACCCAACUACUUUGGGAGGAGCGGGGAUACUGAUGUUUUUGUGUUGGUUUGUUGGUUUGUUAUUUUCUCUUCUUUGGUUAUUAUUAGGGAGCCAGUCAGUGCAGAUAUAGGUACCCUCGCAGGUACCCGCCUCAUCCGCUCUGUGUUUUGUUUUUUGUUUUUUGUAGUUUCUUUUCGUUCUGCUUAUUGGGAAGUUGGCAAUAAAAUCCACAAGGUCUAUUUUGAACUGAA